AUUUAAAUAGCUUAUGUAUAUAGAGUAUAAUAUUGAAGAUAUUAUGGAAAUCAAUAGAUUUUUAAAUA
rnacentral:tRNA from 1 species